CCUACGGGAGGCAGCAGUAGGGAAUAUUGCUCAAUGGGGGAAACUCUGAAGCAGCAACGCCGCGUGGAGGAUGAAGGUUUUCGGAUUGUAAACUCCUUUUGUUAGAGAAGAUAAUGACGGUAUCUAACGAAUAAGCACCUGCUAACUCCGUGCCAGAAGCCGCGGUAAUACGGCGGGUGCAAGCGUUACUCGGAAUCACUGGGUGUAAAGAGCGCGUAGGCGGGAUAGCAAGUCAGAUGUGAAAUCCUAUGGCUUAACCAUAGAACUGCAUUGGAAACUGGUAUUCUAGAGUAUGGGAGAGGUAGGUGGAAUUCUUGGUGUAGGGGUAAAAUCCGUAGAGAUCAAGAGGAAUACUCAUUGCGAAGGCGACCUGCUAGAACAUAACUGACGCUGAUGCGCGAAAGCGUGGGGAGCAAACAGGAUUAGAUACCCGAGUAGUC
rnacentral:rRNA from 1 species